rnacentral:RNase_P_RNA from 2 species
CUAGAUUGCCGGUCGGUCGCCUGCAUUCAAAAAAAUGCGGGAGGAAAGUCCGGGCAGUAUAGGGCACAACAGUUGCUAACGGCAACCAAGAGUAAUCUUAGGGAAAGUGCCACAGAAACGAUACCGCCUAACUAUGACAGCAAUGCAUACUAGGUAAGGGUGAAAUGAGUGGGGUAAGAGCCCACAGCUUACUAUGGUGACAUAGUAGGAGGGUAAACCCUGUUGGCUGCAAGGAUUGGGUAGUGCUUUUUAAGCUAGUGGCCCGCUAUACCCAAGUCAACCCGCUUGAGAUUCGUAGCAAUACGAUUCCUAGAUAGAUGAUCGACGUAUCACAGAACCCGGCUUAUAGGCAAUCUGGCUAC